rnacentral:misc_RNA from 1 species
AAAUAACUCUCUCCCUCUCUUGUAAUGGAGUCAAUUUCAAGUUGAUUGUUGAUUCAUGAAAUUGAGUGUUGAUCAUGGUUUUAAAUAACGGCCCUCAUAGUUAUUAAAGGCGCAGCUCCAUGCUUACUAAGCUCCAACCCUAGCACCUCUAUAGAAGAAAGGCAAGUGACAUUCGCUAGACACUCGCCUUAUGUGCCUAGACAUGCACCUUAAUCCAGGUGCAAGGCUUUAAAAAGGCACGUCUUCUUUGCUUCCACCUUCAGUGAGCACUUCCA